rnacentral:lncRNA from 1 species
GGCUGUUGAAGACCUGCUUGGCCACAGCCAUGGCCUUGGAGAAGUUGCGCUUUCCCUGCUCGUCGAUGACGUCCUUCCCCGAAUAGUACCAAUAGAAAUCGCUGAUGGACUCCUGCAGGCGCAGCAGGUAAUCCACGGUGCAGAUGAUGAUGUUGAUGGUGGUGGUGUUGCCCGUCUGCGUGCGGAGGUAGUUCUGGAAGUCGUUGUUGUGCCCCUCGCACAGCAGCUGCAGCAGCCGGAACAGAUCCUGCGUGAACUCAUCGUCCGACAUCACCUUCUCCCC